CUUCCAGAGGCCGGCGCACGGGUGCGUAACGCGUAUGCAAUCUGCCUUUCACAAAGGGAUAGCCCAGAGAAAUUUGGAUUAAUACCUUAUAGUAUAUUGAUGUGGCAUCACAUUAUUAUUAAAGAUUUAUCGGUGAAAGAUGAGCAUGCGUCCCAUUAGCUAGUUGGUAAGGUAACGGCUUACCAAGGCAACGAUGGGUAGGGGUCCUGAGAGGGAGAUCCCCCACACUGGUACUGAGACACGGACCAGACUCCUACGGGAGGCAGCAGUGAGGAAUAUUGGACAAUGGGCGCAAGCCUGAUCCAGCCAUGCCGCGUGCAGGAUGACGGUCCUAUGGAUUGUAAACUGCUUUUAUACGGGAAGAAACCCUGGAACGUGUUCCAGACUGACGGUACCGUAAGAAUAAGGAUCGGCUAACUCCGUGCCAGCAGCCGCGGUAAUACGGAGGAUCCAAGCGUUAUCCGGAAUCAUUGGGUUUAAAGGGUCCGUAGGCGGCCUUAUAAGUCAGUGGUGAAAUCUCCCGGCUCAACCGGGAAAUUGCCAUUGAUACUGUAGGGCUUGAAUUAUUGGGAAGUAACUAGAAUAUGUAGUGUAGCGGUGAAAUGCUUAGAUAUUACAUGGAAUACCAAUUGCGAAGGCAGGUUACUACCAAUGGAUUGACGCUG
rnacentral:rRNA from 1 species